AUGGCAAGCACGAGUUCUUCGUUCGAGAAGGAUGAGGAGCCGUCGGAUCCGCAGCUUCAGAAAAUCGCACCAGCCGAUCCGGCUGUUGGCCGCGGGCCAGCCGGAAACUCAGCGGAGCCGUCGACGACGGAGAUCAAGAAGAAGAAGAAGAAGGUGUUGAUCCAAGUGCCAGAUAGCGAUGUGAAACGUGUCCUCUCCUACAGGGAAGAAACCAGCGAUCUGAAGGUGCCUGGUCUCUUCGUCAGGAGAGACCCGAAACUGGCUGCGAACUGGGCCAUCAUGUUGGCUAACUUGGCCAUGUAUGACGAGCAGACAAAGGGGCGGAUGCUUGAGGAGCAGAGAGACUUUAGGCAGCAGUUAAAAACCAAGGGCAGAGUCACCUACGAGCUUGAGGUUGAUGAGGAUGAUGACAGAUUUAAAGAUGUUGAAUCCACCAGCUCAGGACAGAGGAGAUAUCGCCCGGGUGUCAUGAAACCCAAGGAUGGACAGACCAGGAAGCUAAAUUAA
rnacentral:rRNA from 1 species